rnacentral:rRNA from 1 species
CACGUAGGGUGCGAGCGUUGUCCGGAAUUAUUGGGCGUAAAGAGCUCGUAGGCGGUCUGUCGCGUCUGCUGUGAAAACUCGGGGCUUAACCCCGGGCCUGCAGUGGGUACGGGCAGACUAGAGUGCGGUAGGGGAGACUGGAAUUCCUGGUGUAGCGGUGAAAUGCGCAGAUAUCAGGAGGAACACCGAUGGCGAAGGCAGGUCUCUGGGCCGAUACUGACGCUGAGGAGCGAAAGCGUGGGGAGCGAACAGG